AUUGAACGCUGGCGGCAGGCUUAACACAUGCAAGUCGAGCGGAGAUGAGGUGCUUGCACCUUAUCUUAGCGGCGGACGGGUGAGUAAUGCUUAGGAAUCUGCCUAUUAGUGGGGGACAACAUUCCGAAAGGAAUGCUAAUACCGCAUACGUCCUACGGGAGAAAGCAGGGGAUCUUCGGACCUUGCGCUAAUAGAUGAGCCUAAGUCGGAUCAGCUAGUUGGUGGGGUAAAGGCCUACCAAGGCGACGAUCUGUAGCGGGUCUGAGAGGAUGGUCCGCCACACUGGGACUGAGACACGGCCCAGACUCCUACGGGAGGCAGCAGUGGGGAAUAUUGGACAAUGGGGGGAACCCUGAUCCAGCCAUGCCGCGUGUGUGAAGAAGGCCUUAUGGUUGUAAAGCACUUUAAGCGAGGAGGAGGCUACUGAGACUAAUACUCUUGGAUAGUGGACGUUACUCGCAGAAUAAGCACCGGCUAACUCUGUGCCAGCAGCCGCAGUAA
rnacentral:rRNA from 1 species